rnacentral:tRNA from 1 species
GGAUAGUUCGGUAUUGGUAAACCAGAUUACUUGCUACGUAAUUGCUAAAAGCUAUCAGCGUUCAAUUCGCUGGCUAUCCG